rnacentral:sRNA from 1 species
UGAAUCUACGAAUGUGCUCUCCAGCUGUU